GAUCAUGGCUCAGGAUGAACGCUAGCUACAGGCUUAACACAUGCAAGUCGAGGGGCAGCAUGGUCUUAGCUUGCUAAGGCCGAUGGCGACCGGCACACGGGUGAGUAACGCGUAUCCAACCUGCCUUACACUCUUGGACAGCCUUCUGAAAGGGAGAUUAAUACAAGAUNUUAUCAUGAGUAAGCAUUUUCGCAUGAUUAAAGGUUUACCGGUGUAAGAUGGGGAUGCG
rnacentral:rRNA from 1 species